UGUAGUCAUGGGUGUCCUUGAAUGAUAAUU
rnacentral:piRNA from 1 species